GGGGAUCGCAAGACCUUGCGCUGAUUGAGCGGCCGAUAUCAGAUUAGCUAGUUGGUGAGGUAAAGGCUCACCAAGGCGACGAUCUGUAGCGGGUCUGAGAGGAUGAUCCGCCACACUGGAACUGAGACACGGUCCAGACUCCUACGGGAGGCAGCAGUGGGGAAUUUUGGACAAUGGGGGCAACCCUGAUCCAGCCAUGCCGCGUGAGUGAAGAAGGCCUUCGGGUUGUAAAGCUCUUUCGGCCGGGAAAAAAUCGCAUGGGUUAAUACCCUGUGUGGAUGAUGGUACCGGAAUAAGAAGCACCGGCUAACUACGUGCCAGCAGCCGCGGUAAUACGUAGGGUGCGAGCGUUAAUCGGAAUUACUGGGCGUAAAGCGUGCGCAGGCGGUUUGAUAAGACAGGCGUGAAAUCCCCGGGCUCAACCUGGGAACUGCGUUUGCGACUGUCUCACUAGAGUACGGCAGAGGGGGGUGGAAUUCCACGUGUAGCAGUGAAAUGCGUAGAGAUGUGGAGGAACACCAAUGGCGAAGGCAGCCCCCUGGGUCGAUACUGACGCUCAUGCACGAAAGCGUGGGUAGCAAACAGGAUUAGAUACCCUGGUAGUCCACGCCCUAAACGAUGUCAACUAGGUGUUGGGUGGGUAAAACCAUUUAGUACCGUAGCUAACGCGAGAAGUUGACCGCCUGGGGAGUACGGCCGCAAGGUUAAAACUCAAAGGAAUUGACGGGGACCCGCACAAGCGGUGGAUGAUGUGGAUUAAUUCGAUGCAACGCGAAAAACCUUACCUACCCUUGACAUGUCCAGGAGUCCGAAGAGAUUUGGAUGUGCUCGAAAGAGAACUGGAACACAGGUGCUGCAUGGCUGUCGUCAGCUCGUGUCGUGAGAUGUUGGGUUAAGUCCCGCAACGAGCGCAACCCUUGUCGUUAAUUGCCAUCAUUUAGUUGGGCACUUUAACGAGACUGCCGGUGACAAACCGGAGGAAGGUGGGGAUGACGUCAAGUCCCCAUGGCCCUUAUGGGUAGGGCUUCACACGUCAUACAAUGGUCGGUACAAAGGGUUGCCAACCCGCGAGGGGGAGCUAAUCCCAUAAAGCCGAUCGUAGUCCGGAUCGUAGGCUGCAACUCGCCUGCGUGAAGUCGGAAUCGCUAGUAAUCGUGGAUCAGCAUGUCACGGUGAAUACGUUCCCGGGUCUUGUACACACCGCCCGUCACACCAUGGGAGCGGGUUCCGCCAGAAGUAGGUAGCCUAACCGCAAGGAGGGCGCUUACCACGGCGGG
rnacentral:rRNA from 1 species